CACGUAGGGGGCGAGCGUUGUUCGGAAUUACUGGGCGUAAAGGGCAUGUAGGCGGCUUGGUAAGCCUGGCGUGAAAGUCCACAGCUUAACUGUGGGACAGCGCUGGGAACUGCUGAGCUUGAGUUAUGGAGAGGGAGCUGGAAUUCCUGGUGUAGGGGUGAAAUCUGUAGAGAUCAGGAAGAACACCGAUGGCGAAGGCAAGCUCCUGGCCAAUGACUGACGCUGAGGUGCGAAAGUGUGGGGAUCAAACAGGAUUAGAUACCCUGGUAGUCCACACGGUAAACGAUGUGCACUAGGUGCCGGGACGGUAGUUUCGGUGCCGGAGCGAACGCGGUAAGUGCACCGCCUGGGGAGUAUGCUCGCAAGGGUGAA
rnacentral:rRNA from 1 species